rnacentral:rRNA from 1 species
AUGUUCUGGUGCGAGUCCCAGUCUCGUCAUGACUAUGAGGACUUCGGCGACGUGCUUGUAUUUGACAACACGUACAAGAUGAACCGCUAUGGUAUGCCAUUCAUACCUUUUGUUGGUCUUAACAAUCACCGAAAGACCACUGUUUUUGGUUGUGCCAUAGUUUCGGACGAGACCGAGGAGACAUACGUGUGGCUUCUACAGACUUUUUUGAGGUCCAUGUGUCAAAAGAUGCCUAAGAGUGUUAUCACAGACGCCGACGCUGCGAUGAUCAAGGCAAUUUGUGAAGUCUUGCCAGACGUGUGGCACCGUAUAUGUACGUGGCACAUAGAGAAAAAUAUGAAGAUUCACCUCAGUCACAAGUCCUUGAAGGAGUUCCGAACUCUUCUGUACUAU